AUUGAACGCUGGCGGCAUGCUUUACACAUGCAAGUCGAGCGGCAGCGCGGGGGGCAACCCUGGCGGCGAGCGGCGAACGGGUGAGUAAUGCAUCGGAACGUACCCUGGAGUGGGGGAUAACGCCGCGAAAGCGGCGCUAAUACCGCAUAUGCUCUGAGGAGGAAAGUGGGGGACCUGCAAGGGCCUCACGCUCUGGGAGCGGCCGAUGUCCGAUUAGCUAGUUGGUGGGGUAAAGGCUUACCAAGGCGACGAUCGGUAGCUGGUCUGAGAGGAUGAUCAGCCACACUGGGACUGAGACACGGCCCAGACUCCUACGGGAGGCAGCAGUGGGGAAUUUUGGACAAUGGGGGCAACCCUGAUCCAGCCAUGCCGCGUGAGUGAAGAAGGCCU
rnacentral:rRNA from 1 species